AUCUGCCUGGUAGUGGGGGAUAACGUUCCGAAAGGAACGCUAAUACCGCAUACGUCCUACGGGAGAAAGCAGGGGACCUUCGGGCCUUGCGCUAUCAGAUGAGCCUAGGUCGGAUUAGCUAGUUGGUGAGGUAAUGGCUCACCAAGGCGACGAUCCGUAACUGGUCUGAGAGGAUGAUCAGUCACACUGGAACUGAGACACGGUCCAGACUCCUACGGGAGGCAGCAGUGGGGAAUAUUGGACAAUGGGCGAAAGCCUGAUCCAGCCAUGCCGCGUGUGUGAAGAAGGUCUUCGGAUUGUAAAGCACUUUAAGUUGGGAGGAAGGGCAUUAACCUAAUACCUUGCUGUUUUGACGUUACCGACAGAAUAAGCACCGGCUAACUUCGUGCCAGCAGCCGCGGUAAUACGAAGGGUGCAAGCGUUAAUCGGAAUUACUGGGCGUAAAGCGCGCGUAGGUGGUUCGUUAAGUUGGAUGUGAAAGCCCCGGGCUCAACCUGGGAA
rnacentral:rRNA from 1 species